GUGGAUGCCGUUAAUUCUGCCUUUUGGAGUGAUGCUGCCCACACGGACUUCAUCAACACAGCUGGUGCCAUGCUGCAGUAUGCUGUCGGCCUUCUGCAGCCCACUAAGGUCUCGGCUCGCCAGCUGCCCCCAAGCGUAGCCCGGGUGGAUGCCAAAAGCCGAGUUCUGUUUCCUCUUGGGUUGGGACAUGCUGCUGAGUACGUCAGGCCUCGGGUGGCGCUCAUUGGGUAAGAUGAUAACAGAGCAGGGCCACUCCCUUCUCACUUUGCUGCCAGAGGUCACACCUGAACUCUGCUUUAUUCUUAGGGAUGCAGCCCACAGAGUCCAUCCGCUUGCAGGACAGGGUGUCAACAUGGGCUUUGGGGAUAUCUCCAGCUUGGCCCAUCACCUCAGUACGGCAGCCUUCAAUGGGAAGGACUUAGGAACAGAUUAUGGCCUUUGCAAGCAAAUGAGUACUCCUCUUCUAAAGAUUAUGUUGAUGAAAAAGAACAUCCUGCCCCGGAUCCAUCAUACAUAUUUUCAAGAUCUUAUUUAAUAAACUUACUUUACAUU
rnacentral:sRNA from 1 species